rnacentral:misc_RNA from 1 species
GAAAUGCGAUAAGUAAUGUGAAUUGCAGAAUUCAGUGAAUCAUCGAAUCUUUGAACGCAAAUUGCGCCCCCUGGUAUUCCGGGGGGCAUGCCUGUUCGAGCGUCAUUUCACCACUCAAGCCUCGCUUGGUAUUGGGCAACGCGGUCCGCCGCGUGCCUCAAAUCGACCGGCUGGGUCUUCUGUCCCCUAAGCGUUGUGGAAACUAUUCGCUAAAGGGUGUUCGGGAGGCUACGCCGUAAAACAACCCCAUUUCUAAGGUUGACCUCGGAUCAGGUAGGGAUACCCGCUGAACUUAAGC